rnacentral:rRNA from 1 species
ACAGAGGCGGCAAGCGUUGUUCGGAAUUAUUGGGCGUAAAGAGCACGUAGGCGGCCCUACAAGUCAGCUGUGAAAUCCUUCUGCUCAACGGAAGAACGGCAGUUGAUACUACAGGGCUUGAGUACGGGAGGGGAGAGUGGAACUUCUGGUGGAGCGGUGAAAUGCGUAGAUAUCAGAAGGAACGCCGGCGGCGAAAGCGACUCUCUGGUCCGAAACUGACGCUGAGUGUGCGAAAGCUAGGGGAGCAAACGGG